ensembl:lncRNA PMS2P4 PMS1 homolog 2, mismatch repair system component pseudogene 4
GUGGAGGGAACUUUCCCAGGCCCCGAGGCGGAUCGGGUAUUGAGUCCAUGGAGCGAGCUGAGAGCUAGAGUACAGAACCUGCUAAGGCCAUCAAACCUAUCGAUCGGAAGUCAGUCCAUCAGAUUUGCUCUGGGCCGGUGGUACUGAGUCUAAGCACUGCGGUGAAGGAGUUAGUAGAAAACAGUCUGGAUGCUGGUGCCACCAAUAUUGAUCUAAAGCUUAAGGACUAUGGAGUGGAUCUCAUUGAAGUUUCAGACAAUGGAUGUGGGGUAGAAGAAGAAAACUUUGAAGGCUUAAAUGCCAAACCUUAGAUUUUAUGAUGACUCCUCAACCGUUUAGAUCUUGGUUAUCUCAGAGGGAUCAUCAGCUUUUUAAGAAAGUUUUGAGAGAAAAGCAAGUGAAGAAAAACAUAGUCAAUGCUCAACAUCACGGGUCUCUCACUGAACACACCACACCUGGUAUUCUCUCACAGCGAUGUCACCAUUUCUACCUGCCACGCAUCGGCGAAGGUUGGGACUCGACUGGUGUUUGAUCACGAUGGGAAAAUCAUCCAGAAAACCCCCUACCCCCACCCCAGAGGGACCACAGUCAGCGUGAAGCAGUUAUUUUCUACACUACCUGUGCACCAUAAGGAAUUUCAAAGGAAUAUUAAGAAGACGUGCCUGUUUCCCCUUCGCCUUCUGCCGUGAUUGUCAGUUUCCUGAGGCCUCCCCAGCCAUGCUUCCUGUACAGCCUGCAGAACUGUGAGUCAAUUAAACCUCUUUUCUUCAUAAAUUA